GAAUAUUGCGCAAUGGACGAAAGUCUGACGCUGCGACGCCGCGUGUGGGAGGAAGCCUUUCGGGGUGUAAACCACUGUCCGAGGGGAAGAACGCCGGCUAGUCGAACAGGCUAGUCGGGUGACGGUACCCUCAAAGGAAGCGCCGGCUAACUCCGUGCCCGCAGCCGCGGUAAGACGGAGGGCGCAAGCGUUGUUCGGAAUUACUGGGCGUAAAGCGCGGGCAGGCGGUCUGUUAAGUCAUUUGUGAAAACCCGGGGCUCAACCCCGCGGAAUGCAGAUGAUACUGGCAGACUAGAGACCAGUAGAGGCUAGCGGAAUUCCUGGUGUAGCGGUGGAAUGCGUAGAUAUCAGGAAGAACACCUGUGGCGAAGGCGGCUAGCUGGGCUGGAUCUGACGCUCAUCCGCGAAAGCGUGGGGAGCAAACAGG
rnacentral:rRNA from 1 species